rnacentral:rRNA from 1 species
GACGAACCGUGCGAACGUUGUUCGGAAUCACUGGGCUUAAAGGGCGCGUAGGCGGGUGUGCAAGUCUGUGGUGAAAGCCUCCAGCUUAACUGGAGAAGUGCCAUGGAUACUGCACAUCUUGAGGAGGGUAGGGGCAUCUGGAACGGUCGGUGGAGCGGUGAAAUGCGUUGAUAUCGACCGGAACUCCGGUGGCGAAGGCGAGGUGCUGGACCUUCUGACGCUGAGGCGCGAAAGCCAGGGGAGC